rnacentral:rRNA from 1 species
AUUGAACGCUAGCGGGAUGCCUUACACAUGCAAGUCGAACGAGUGGCGAACGGGUGUGUAAUGUUUGGGAAACUGCCUGAUGGAGGGGGAUAACUACUGGAAAUGGUAGCUAAUACCUCAUACCAUCAGUAGCGCCCAGACGGGAUUAGCUAGUAGGUGGGGUAACGGCUCACCUAGACGACGAUCCCUACCUGGUUUGAGAGGAUGACCAGCCACACUGGAACUGAGACACGGUCCAGACUCCUACGGGAGGCAGCAGUGGGGAAUAUUGCACAAUGGGCGCAAGCCUGAUGCAGCCAUGCCGCGUGUGUGAAGAAGGCCUUCGGGUUGUAAAGCACUUUCAGCGAGGAGGCGUUACCCGCAGAAGAAGCACCGGCUAACUCCGUGCCAGCAGCCGCGGUAAUAC